GCUUAACCCUGAGCGUGCUUUCGAUACGGGUUGACUUGAGGAAGGUAGGGGAGAAUGGAAUUCCUGGUGGAGCGGUGGAAUGCGCAGAUAUCAGGAGGAACACCAGUGGCGAAGGCGGUUCUCUGGGCCUUUCCUGACGCUGAGGAGCGAAAGCGUGGGGAGCGAACAGGCUUAGAUACCCUGGUAGUCCACGCUGUAAACGGUGGGUACUAGGUGUGGGGUCCAUUCCACGGGUUCCGUGCCGUAGCUAACGCUUUAAGUACCCCGCCUGGGGAGUACGGCCGCAAGGCUAAAACUCAAAGGAAUUGACGGGGCCCCGCACAAGCGGCGGAGCAUGCGGAUUAAUUCGAUGCAACGCGUAGAACCUUACCUGGGUUUGACAUGGAUCGGGAGUGCUCAGAGAUGGGUGUGCCUCUUUUGGGGUCGGUUCACAGGUGGUGCAUGGCUGUCGUCAGCUCGUGUCGUGAGAUGUUGGGUUAAGUCCCGCAACGAGCGCAACCCUUGUUCACUGUUGCCAGCACGUUAUGGUGGGGACUCAGUGGAGACCGCCGGGGUCAACUCGGAGGAAGGUGGGGAUGACGUCAAGUCAUCAUGCCCCUUAUGUCCAGGGCUUCACGCAUGCUACAAUGGCUGGUACAGAG
rnacentral:rRNA from 1 species